UACGUAGGGUGCGAGCGUUAAUCGGAAUUACUGGGCGUAAAGCGUGCGCAGGCGGCUUCGCAAGUCAGGCGUGAAAUCCCCGGGCUUAACCUGGGAAUGGCGUCUGAAACUACGGAGCUGGAGUGUGGCAGAGGGGGGUAGAAUUCCACGUGUAGCAGUGAAAUGCGUAGAGAUGUGGAGGAACACCGAUGGCGAAGGCAGCCCCCUGGGUCAAGAUUGACGCUCAUGCACGAAAGCGUGGGGAGCAAACAGG
rnacentral:rRNA from 1 species